rnacentral:rRNA from 1 species
GACGAACGCUGGCGGCGUGCUUAACACAUGCAAGUCGAACGAAGAGCGAUGGAAGCUUGCUUCUAUCAAUCUUAGUGGCGAACGGGUGAGUAACGCGUAAUCAACCUGCCCUUCAGAGGGGGACAACAGUUGGAAACGACUGCUAAUACCGCAUACGAUCUAAUCUCGGCAUCGAGGAUAGAUGAAAGGUGGCCUCUACAUGUAAGCUAUCACUGAAGGAGGGGAUUGCGUCUGAUUAGCUAGUUGGAGGGGUAACGGCCCACCAAGGCGAUGAUCAGUAGCCGGGCUGAGAGGAUGAACGGCCACAUUGGGACUGGGACACGGCCCAGACUCCUACGGGAGGCAGCAGUGGGGAAUCUUCCGCAAUGGACGAAAGUCUGACGGAGCAACGCCGCGUGAGUGAUGACGGCCGUCGGGUUGGAAAGCUCUGUUAAUCGGGACGAAAGGCCUUCUUGCGAAUAGUGAGAAGGAUUGACGGUACCGGAAUAGAAAGCCACGGCUAACUACGUG